UACAGAGGGGGGCAAGCGUUGUUCGGAAUUACUGGGCGUAAAGGGCGCGUAGGCGGCCUUCUAAGUCGAACGUGAAAUCCCUGGGCUCAACCCAGGAACUGCGUCCGAUACUGGGAGGCUUGAAUCCGGGAGAGGGAUGCGGAAUUCCAGGUGUAGCGGUGAAAUGCGUAGAUAUCUGGAGGAACACCGGUGGCGAAGGCGGCAUCCUGGACCGGCAUUGACGCUGAGGCGCGAAAGCCAGGGGGAGCAAAACGGG
rnacentral:rRNA from 1 species